rnacentral:lncRNA from 1 species
UUGUCUCUAGAAUCCAUAUUCUGUGAACUGUAAUUAUUUGAAGUAACGUGUGGAUGAUGAGAUAGAACUUUUAAAUUUUAUGGACUACAAAGCGCUAAAUCUAAAAUCCUAAAGAUUAAAUAUUCAUGAAAUAUUGGAAGCGGCAUAAUAAAAGGUACAUCAGUAGCAUAAUGAAAUUAAGGCUCCUUAGUUCAUUUCUGCAUAUUGCUAUUGUAUCUCCCAAAUUGAAUACCCAUCUCCUUUAAGAACUGUGUCAUUCAUUUCCAGCUACUACGCAAUGGGACAUCCUUCACUAUGCAAAGGCUGAGUUUUUUAACUGUAAAUUUUCUUGAACUUCCUUGUCACUGUCUUUGGCAAGUGGAAAUUGGGCCUUAAUAUUUAUAAAAAUGAGGGGAUUAAUCCCUUUGACAUUGGACAUGAGAAAAAUACACAUGUGAAUAGUGAAAUAAAAUUUCCGGUGAAAGAGAUAGAAUGAGUAAAGGACAUAUAAUUAAGAAGCACAUAUAAAUCUAAGGCUAGAUGCAGUAUCAACCUCAUGAGGGUGGUCCCCUCAAAAGGUCCAUAAGAAGGAUCCUACCUAGGCGUUUUAGGCUCCCCAAAACUCAAGAGAAAGUCAUGACCAUCAUCUGGAGAAAAGGGUAAUUUGAACCAAUUUAAAGUUCUUCUUGCUGUAAACUCCUGAGUCUUGACUCUUAACAGAAUUCAUAUUCUCCAUCUACUUACAUUGGAGAUCACAUUUGGUUGCAAUGAAUCCAGAUUGCAAGGAAGGGGCAGCCCUUUGGGACCACCAUACAUAUUUUAGUUGCUUGUUGAUGGACUAGCAUCUUUACUUAUAAUUGAUUGGGGC